CCGACUCCGACUCUAUAUCGGCCGAAUGAACACAUUAUGCCGACUCAUAAUCGACUGACCGAUCGAUAGUUGGCUAUUAUCAACUAACAACAGAACUCAGUUAAACACGACUGAUGACUAUCGACAUAUUAGUUACCAUCCGAUGCUCAUUCGGAUCUCUACCGACCUACUACUAUUAUCGACAUAUACUCGGCCUAUCUUCCCACGAUCAUAUAAGGCUAGA
rnacentral:lncRNA from 1 species